CUGAAGUCUUCAUACAGACACACAUCAGUGUGACACAGCAUCACACACAAGCUAACGUAAUAAUAUUUAGUUAUAAAAAUAAAAAGUACUUGUUCAGUACAGCUCUGUCAGAAACACAUUUAGUGUAGAUCUGUGUGUAAAUUAAUGUCUUGUCGUGAACACAGAAGGCAAUAAAGUCUCGUCGAACUCCAGCCGCUGGAUCACAGGAUCAGGAAUCUCAGAAUGCAGCAGCUUCUGAUGAACCUCCAGCCGCUGGAUCAAACCAGAACCAGAACACAGAAUCACUGGAGAUGAAUCCUCUACUGAAUCAACAAAACCAAGAGACUCAGCUGGAUUCAGUGGUUUCACAAACAUGAUCAACAAUCAGACAAAAACACUCCUGAAACAGUGAUUUAAGAGUUUAGUCUCGUUCUUCAUUUGUUAUUGAGGAGGUUUUUUAUAAUGUAUGUUUUGUAAAUAUCUGUAAAUAUAUACAGGAUGUUUAACUGUCACUGCACUUUGUAUUCAUAUAUUGUGAUUUGUUUUAUAAUAAUUCUAGCUGUAAACCAACUUCAACAGUAAACUGAGACUCUUCAAGAUCAGCAGAGAGAGAAAUCAGUGUUAUAAUUUGUGAGGUUUGGUCUCAGUUCAGGAUCAUGACGUCAGUAAAUGUUCAGUUCAGGGUCUCUUACACCCUUCAGAAACACUGAGACUGAAUAUUCACACCUUCAGAUGGAAAAUCAGAUCCUUCAUCAUGAUCGCAGCCGUUUGUAUUUCUACAAUGUUUGAAUUAUUAAAUAUUGCUUAUAAUAUGUUAGCUGCUGAUUCUGUCAUUAUCAGUCCGUUCAGACACUCAACAGCCACAAACACAAGUGAACUUCAGUAAAUCUCAAUCCAUCACUUCUACUAGACAUGAAGAUGAUAUUAAUGCUCAUAAUAAUACAGCUGAAAUCAUCCUGACAGAGCCGACAGCACCUGUACACACAACACAGACAUUAAUGCUCAUUAGACAGAUGAAAAACAAUCAUUUAAUACUGUAUGACAAGUUAGAUCAGAACAUCAUUUCUGGAGUUCAAACAUGAAAUACAGCAUUUGCCUUCCUGAAUGUCUUCAGUACAGCAGUCAGAAAACCAUCAGCAGAAGUCCAGAUCAUUCCCUAUGAGCAAAGAUUAAAGAGGAGGAACAACUGUUUCUCCUCAUGAAUAUGGUUCAGUCAUAUCAAAACUUGAUGGAGUUGUUGUUACCUUCCUUCCUCUAUAUCUGCCAUUUCUUCCUCCAAGUUUCCAGCCCAGAAUGAGUCCAAACACAGAAGCUCAUGAUCAGCCAUUCUCCUCCAUAAUACUGAGUCUGGGAAGCAGAUCAAGAAGUUAAUACAUUUAUAACUCUUAAUUCUUCUCUAAUUUCUAAAUUGCGAUCAAACAUGUUGGAUUCUUUAUAUAGAAGACAAAAUGAGAGAUUUUGCUAAAUGUCCAACUAUUGUUUGUAUUUAUAGUCUGUAUUGUUCUUCUUGUCUUUGUAUUGUGUAACAUUGUGCUUUAUUUCAUAUGUUGUAAAUGUAUGUAAAUAAUGUUUGUAAAUGGCAAUAAAACUAACUUUGACUGCU